rnacentral:rRNA from 1 species
GACGAACGCUGGCGGCGUGCCUAAUACAUGCAAGUUGAGCGAUGAAGAUUGGUGCUUGCACCCAUUUGAAGAGCAGCGAACGGGUGAGUAACGCGUGGGGAAUCUGCCUUUGAGCGGGGGACAACAUUUGGAAACGAAUGCUAAUACCGCAUAAUAACUUUAAACAUAAGUUUUAAGUUUGAAAGAUGCAAUUGCAUCACUCAAAGAUGAUCCCGCGUUGUAUUAGCUAGUUGGUGAGAUAAAGGCUCACCAAGGCGAUGAUACAUAGCCGACCUGAGAGGGUGAUCGGCCACAUUGGGACUGAGACACGGCCCAAACUCCUACGGGAGGCAGCAGUAGGGAAUCUUCGGCAAUGGACGAAAGUCUGGCCGAGCAACGCCGCGUGAGUGAAGAAGGGUGUCGGAUCGUAAAACUCUGUUGGUAGAGAAGAACGUUGGUGAGAGUGGAAAGCUCAUCAAGUGACGGUAACUACCCAGAAAGGGACGGCUAACUACGUG